rnacentral:sRNA from 1 species
CCUUAAAUAUUAACGAGCGUCCGCCAGCAAUAAUAAAAAGCUAAGGAAUAUCUAUGUGGGAGACUAGUAGUAGAACUACCACCUGACCGGCCAGCCUACCCCAAAACUACCGAGGGGUUUUGAUAACUUUUUUUGAUAAAAUUUUGAUAACCGUUAGCAGCCUAACAAAAAACAACGGGAGCGUUACGCUCCCGUUAAUA